AUUGAUAGCUCUUUCUUGAUUCUUUGGGUGGUGGUGCAUGGCCGUUCUUAGUUGGUGGAGUGAUUUGUCUGGGUAAUUCCGUUAACGAACGAGACCUUAACCUGCUAAAUUGGAUACGGGAAUAGGUUUUUACUGUCCCGUUAUCGCUUCUUAGAGGGACUUU
rnacentral:rRNA from 1 species